AUUGAACGCUGGCGGCAUGCUUUACACAUGCAAGUCGAACGGUAACAGGCCGCAAGGUGCUGACGAGUGGCGAACGGGUGAGUAAUGCAUCGGAACGUGCCCAGUCGUGGGGGAUAACGCAGCGAAAGCUGCGCUAAUACCGCAUACGAUCUAUGGAUGAAAGCGGGGGACCGUAAGGCCCCGCGCGAUUGGAGCGGCCGAUGUCAGAGUAGGUAGUUGGUGGGGUAAAGGCCCACCAAGCCGACGAUCUGUAGCUGGUCUGAGAGGACGACCAGCCACACUGGGACUGAGACACGGCCCAGACUCCUACGGGAGGCAGCAGUGGGGAAUUUUGGACAAUGGGCGCAAGCCUGAUCCAGCAAUGCCGCGUGCAGGAAGAAGGCCUUCGGGUUGUAAACUGCUUUUGUACGGAACGAAACGGUCCUGGUUAAUACCCGGGGCUAAUGACGGUACCGUAAGAAUAAGCACCGGCUAACUACGUGCCAGCCGCCGCGGUAAAAC
rnacentral:rRNA from 1 species